UAUACAGUACGUUGGCCAAUACAGAAGU
rnacentral:sRNA from 1 species